UAGACAUUUUCUUAGAUUUUAAAUUAAUAUUUUUGGGUUGAAUUCCUUUUCUUAUUUCAACGAUUUUAACAAUAUCCCAAACUAACUCGAUUGAUUGCACUUCUUUGCAUAAUCUGUUGCAUUCAGAUGCACCUUUUGAUGCUUAUCUGUUGUCGGGGUUGUCAUAUGAGUAAAAAUAAUUAAAACUUGAGAUAUUUAUGUUGUCACUCCAGGAAAACUUUGUAUGAUUUAGGUAUGAUUUUUAUAGAUAGAAAAUAAGUUUGAUGUAAAACAAAACAUAUAAAUUACAGACUUACAAAGUGGCUCUGAAAUGAAACCUUAUUAGAUUUAAUGAUAAAAAUAUAUUUCUUAGGCUCAUGAGUGAAUUUGUCUAAAUAAUCAGUUCAGAAUUUUCGAAGAAUUUGUGUCUUCAGGGGAUUGGCACCCUACUUUUGUUUUUUUGCCUUUUGUUCUCAACAUAUGAGAAGGUCAUUCUGAGGUGACAUGCACUUUUGAUGUGUGGACCCCUCCGGGGACGCACGCUCGCAUGAGCCCUAUUUUGUGAUAAGACCACACAUUCCACAUGGUGGUCAAAAUGGUGGAAGCAGUUCGAGUCCUUCGGUGUGUUCCACUGAAGUUGACUCCUGCUCGAGGGAAGGGAGCGCUCCGCCAGAAGUCCUAACAGCUUCCAGUGCGGUGAGCUAAAUUUCGAAUUGUUUCAUUUUUUCUCUAGCGGCCAUAAAGGGCAUCGGCUAAUAUUUCCUUUUCUCGCUUUGCAGGAGCCGGGAUGUUUCUAGAUGUUUCUAGAAGCUUUCGAUGCUUCUAGAUGUUUCAAGAUGUUUUAAGAGCUUUCGAUUUCUUAUGAAAUUUAUUUUGAAGAUGUUUGGAACUUUUAAAAUGCUGUGGGAUCUGUCCCACGCCAUCUGCACUGGCCGGCUCCAACCAGGUCAGCAGUCAGCUUCCCGGGGAUAGGAGAGGUCACUCCCCGCUGCUCCAGUUCCAGCAGCUGUUUUGAGGUCGGUCCAAUGCAUCCUUGAAUUUUGUAGGGCAUCUGCGCUCAGCUACAAAUUUAAAAUGUAUUUGAAGAGAAGUAGUUUUUUUAAUUUAAAGUUUUGAAAGUUCUGGUGCAUAAAACUUAGGUAUUUCGAAAUUUAGUCUUUAGUAAUUAAUUAAUUGGUGUAAACCUUAUAACAUGAACCUGUGAAGCGACCCAGCUAUACCACUGAGCUUUUACACUAUAACUUUAGGUUAAUAAAGUUUGUUAGAUUUAAA